GACGAACGUUGGCGGCGUGCUUAAUACAUGCAAGUCCACUGAAGCAGUGGUAGCAAUAUCGCUGUGGAGGUGGCGCACGGGUGAGUAACACGUAGGUAAUCUGCCUUCAGGUCUGGCAUAACUCCGGGAAACCGGGGCUAAUAGCAGAUGAUGCAGCGGCUCGACAUCGAGACAGUUGUUAAAGCUAUGGCGCCUGAAGAUGAGCCUGCGUCUGAUUAGCUAGUUGGCGGGGUAACGGCCCACCAAGGCAACGAUCAGUAGCUGGUCUGAGAGGAUGAUCAGACACACAGGAACUGAGACACGGUCCAGACUCCUACGGGAGGCAGCAGUAAGGAAUAUUGCUCAAUGGGAGAAAUCCUGAAGCAGCAACGCCGCGUGAGGGACGAAGGGCUUUUGCUUGUAAACCUCUGUAGUGAGAGAAAAAAAUCCCAAUCUUUGGGACAUGAUGGUAUCUCAAAAGUAAGCCCCGGCUAACUACGUG
rnacentral:rRNA from 1 species